rnacentral:rRNA from 1 species
UACGGAGGGUGCAAGCGUUAUCCGGAUUCACUGGGUUUAAAGGGUGCGUAGGUGGGCAGGUAAGUCAGAUGUGAAAGCCCCGGGCUCAACCUGGGAAUUGCAUUUGAGACUGCAUAGCUAGGGUGCGGAAGAGGGAAGCGGAAUUUCCGGUGUAGCGGUGAAAUGCGUAGAUAUCGGAAGGAACACCAGUGGCGAAAGCGGCUUCCUGGUCCAGCACCGACGUUCAGGCACGAAAGCGUGGGGAGCAAACAGG